UACGAAGGGUGCUAGCGUUGUUCGGAAUUACUGGGCGUAAAGCGCGCGUAGGCGGCUAUUCAAGUCAGGGGUGAAACGUCCUUGGGCUCAACCCAAGAAUUGCCUUUGAAACUGUAUAGCUAGAGUGUCGGAGGGGAUAGCGGAAUUCCUAAUGUAGAGGUGAAAUUCGUAGAUAUUGGGAAGAACACCGGUGGCGAAGGCGGCGACCUGGUCCGAUACUGACGCUGAGGCGCGAAAGCGUGGGGAGCAAACAGG
rnacentral:rRNA from 1 species